rnacentral:misc_RNA from 1 species
ACAAUUUUGUUCACCAUCCCUUACAACAACAUCCCACAUGAACUUCCGAAAUCAAAAUCAGCAUAGAGUUUCAUUUAUGUCAAAUUACAUAAACAUCAACAAUUAUGGAGAAGGGGGGAAAACCAUUUAGCAGCAAAAAUAAGGUGUCAUCCUCAACCUCCUAUAGAAACCAGCUUUUAAUCUUUAUCAUCCGAAGUCCAAACACCUUAUACAGAUUUAUAUCACUAGAGAGAGAGAGAGAGAGAGAGAGAG